GACGAACGCUGGCGGCGUGCUUAACACAUGCAAGUCGAACGAUGAAGCCUAGCUUGCUAGGUGGAUUAGUGGCGAACGGGUGAGUAAUACGUGAGUAACCUACCUUUAACUCUGGGAUAAGCCCGGGAAACUGGGUCUAAUACCGGAUACGACCAAUCUCCGCAUGGGGUGUUGGUGGAAAGCGUUAUGUAGUGGUUAUAGAUGGGCUCACGGCCUAUCAGCUUGUUGGUGAGGUAACGGCUCGCCAAGGCGACGACGGGUAGCCGGCCUGAGAGGGUGACAGGCCACACUGGGACUGAGACACGGCCCAGACUCCUACGGGAGGCAGCAGUGGGGAAUAUUGCACAAUGGACGCAAGCCUGAUGCAGCGACGCCGCGUGAGGGAUGACGGCCUUCGGGUUGUAAACCUCUGUUAGCAGGGAAGAAGAGAGAUAGACGGUACCUGCAGAGAAAGCGCCGGCUAACUACGUG
rnacentral:rRNA from 1 species